rnacentral:rRNA from 1 species
GAGUUUGAUCGUGGCUCAGGAUGAACGCUGGCGGCGUGCUUAACACAUGCAAGUCGAACGAGGAAUUUUAAAUGAGACUUCGGUGGAUUUUAAAAUUCUUAGUGGCGGACGGGUGAGUAACGCGUGGGCAACCUGCCCUGUACAGGGGGGACAACAGCUGGAAACGGCUGCUAAUACCGCAUAAGACCACGGAGCCGCAUGGCUCAGUGGGAAAAACUCCGGUGGUACAGGAUGGGCCCGCGUUGGAUUAGGUAGUUGGUGAGGUAACGGCCCACCAAGCCGACGAUCCAUAGCCGACCUGAGAGGGUGACCGGCCACGUUGGGACUGAGACACGGCCCAAACUCCUACGGGAGGCAGCAGUGGGGAAUCUUCCGCAAUGGGCGAAAGCCUGACGGAGCAACGCCGCGUGAGUGAAGAAUUAUUUCGGUAUGUAAAGCUCUAUCAGCAGGGAAGAAAAUGACGGUACCUGACUAAGAAGCCCGGCUAACUACGUGCCAGCCGCCGCCGU